CGUACACUCCUGCGGGAGGCAGCAGUGGGGAAUAUUGGACAAUGGGCGCAAGCCUGAUCCAGCCAUGCCGCGUGAGUGAUGAAGGCCCUAGGGUUGUAAAGCUCUUUCACCGGUGAAGAUAAUGACGGUAACCGGAGAAGAAGCCCCGGCUAACUUCGUGCCAGCAGCCGCGGUAAUACGAAGGGGGCUAGCGUUGUUCGGAUUUACUGGGAGUAAAGCGCACGUAGGCGGACUAUUAAGUCAGGGGUGAAAUCCCGGGGCUCAACCCCGGAACUGCCUUUGAUACUGGUAGUCUUGAGUUCGAGAGAGGUGAGUGGAAUUCCGAGUGUAGAGGUGAAAUUCGUAGAUAUUCGGAGGAACACCAGUGGCGAAGGCGGCUCACUGGCUCGAUACUGACGCUGAGGUGCGAAAGCGUGGGGAGCAAACAGGAUUAGAUACCCUUGUAGUCCCAU
rnacentral:rRNA from 1 species